UAUCGAGCUUAAGCUAACCCUGAAAUGUCAUCUACCUUUUAUUUCUUUGAAAAAGGUAAAUUUUAGAUAAAGCUUUGGUUGGGGCAACCGUGGAGAAAAAGAAUCCUCCAGUUAAUUAGGAAGAAAACAUUUCACCUAAAAAAUUUAGCGACCCAGUCACUCUGGAAAACGGAAAAAGUUACCGCAGGGAUAACAGCGUUAUCUCCUCUAAGAGCCCAUAUUGACGAGAAGGAUUGCGACCUCGAUGUUGGAUUGGGGUAACCAAAGGGUGUAGCAGCUCUUUAAGGUUGGACUGUUCGUCCAUUAAUUCCCUACAUGAUCUGAGUUCAGACCGACGUAAGUCAGGUCAGCUUCUAUCUUCUAAAUAACCCUUCUAGUACGAAAGGACCGAAGGGAGGCCUUCAAUGACCAACGUUAAAAGGUAAAAAAAAACAAUAAAAAAAGUUAAAAAAUAAAUACCUUAGUUAAAUCCAGGGAACGUCUUAAAAUUAACACACUAGCGACUCACUUAAACCUACGCUAAAAGAAAAGUUUUUGGAUUUUACACAAGGCCCCCCCCUUAUGGUUUUUCUAGAAUUUUGGAUUUUAAGAAACAUGAAA
rnacentral:rRNA from 1 species